CGGUUAAAAAGCUCGUAGUUGGAUUUCUGUUGAGGACGGCCGGUCCGCACUAUGUGCGUGUAUCUGGUUCGGCCUCGGCAUCCUCUUGAGGAACGUUUCUGCGCUUGAUUGCGUGGAGCGGUAUUCAAGACCUUUACUUUGAGGAAAUUAGAGUGUUCACGGCAGGCAAGCGCCUUGAAUACAUUAGCAUGGAAUAAUAAUAUAGGAUCCUGGUUCUAUUUGUUGGUUUCUAGGGCUAAGGUAAUGAUUAAUAGGGAUAAUUGGGGGCAUUUGUAUUAACGCGUCAGAGGUGGAAUUCUUGGAUUGCGUUACGACAAACUACUGCGAAAGCGUUUGCCAAGGAUGUUUUCAUUGAUCAAGAACGAAAGUAUGGGGAUCGAAGAUGAUUAGAUACCGUCGUAGUCUAUACCAUAAACUAUGCCGACUAGGGAUUGGAGGUCGUUCUUUUUAUGACUCCUUCAGCACCUUAUGAGAAAUCAAAGUCUUUGGGUUCCGGGGGGAGUAUAGUCGCAAGGCUGAAACUUAAAGGAAUUGACGGAAGGGCACCACCAGGAGUGGAGCCUGCGGCUUAAUUUGACUCAACACGGGGAAACUCACCAGGUCCAGACAUAGUAAGGAUUGACAGAUUGAUAGCUCUUUCUUGAUUCUAUGGGUGGUGGUGCAUG
rnacentral:rRNA from 1 species